rnacentral:rRNA from 1 species
UAAUACGUAUGUCCCGAGCGUUAUCCGGAUUUAUUGGGCGUAAAGCGAGCGCAGACGGUUUAUUAAGUCUGAUGUGAAAGCCCGGAGCUCAACUCCGGAAUGGCAUUGGAAACUGGUUAACUUGAGUGCAGUAGAGGUAAGUGGAACUCCAUGUGUAGCGGUGGAAUGCGUAGAUAUAUGGAAGAACACCAGUGGCGAAGGCGGCUUACUGGACUGCAACUGACGUUGAGGCUCGAAAGUGUGGGUAGCAAACAGGAUUAGAUACCCUGGUAGUCCACACCGUAAACGAUGAACACUAGGUGUUAGGAGGUUUCCGCCUCUUAGUGCCGAAGCUAACGCAUUAAGUGUUCCGCCUGGGGAGUACGACCGCAAGGUUG